rnacentral:rRNA from 1 species
UGUGUAGGCGGUUCUUUAAGUUUGGUGUGAAAUCCCCCGGCUCAACCGGGAGGGUGCGCCGAAAACUGGGGGACUGGAGUGCGGGAUGGGAGAGUAGAAUUCCUGGUGUAGCGGUGAAAUGCGUAGAUAUCAGGAGGAAUACCGGUGGUGUAGACGGCUCUCUGGACCGCGACUGACGCUGAGACACGAAAGCGUGGGUAGCAAACA